rnacentral:rRNA from 1 species
UACAGAGACUGCAAGCGUUAUUCGGAUUCACUGGGCGUAAAGGGUGCGCAGGCGGCCAAGUGUGUGAGGCGUGAAAGCCCGGGGCUUAACCCCGGAAUUGCACCUCAAACUACAUGGCUAGAGCAUUGGAGAGGGUAGCGGAAUUCACGGUGUAGCAGUGAAAUGCGUAGAUAUCUGGAGGAACACCGGUGGCGAAGGCGGCAUCCUGGACCAAUAUUGACGCUGAGGAGCGAAAGCUAGGGGAGCAAACGGG